GCCGAAGUGGUGAAAUUGGCAGACGCACUGGACUCAAAAUCCAGCGGUAGCAAUACCAUGCCGGUUCGAGUCCGCCUUCGGCA
rnacentral:tRNA from 2 species